GACAGAGGUGCCGAGCGUUAGGCGGAAUCACUGGGCUUAAAGCGUGUGUAGGCGGGGCGUAAGUGCUUUGUGAAAUCCCACGGCUCACCCGUGGAACUGCUUGGCAUACUGGCGCUCUUGAGCCACUUAGGGGCAACUGGAACAAACGGUGGAGCGGUGAAAUGCGUAGAUAUCGUUUGGAACGCCAAUGGUGAAAACAGGUUGCUGGGAGUGUGCUGACGCUGAGACACGAAAGCCAGGGGAGCGAACGGG
rnacentral:rRNA from 1 species